rnacentral:sRNA from 1 species
ACCGCGCCUGGUCAAAAAGGGGGUGGUUCUAACUUUCAUCUUAGGGUAGCUGUGAAAAUGAAAGGAGAUGAUACAUCCACAGCACUUGGCACAGGGCUUGGCAUACAGUACGUGCUCAAUAAAGGGAGCUGUUGCCACCUCUUGUGGUCCCUGCUAGGGAGGGUGAGGCCUUGGUGUGGAAAGUGAGAACAGAGCUGGUCCCUACUGAGGUGGGCACUCUUCUUGCUCCCUGGGAGGGCACCGCGGGCCCAGGGCAGGCGCUGAGUCGCGUGUGCUCCUCUCUGAUUGCUGCGCAGGUCGGCCGGCUGGCGGAGCUGGGCGCGGCGUCAGGACGGGCCACCAGGCCGGGCUAGGAAGGUGUAGUGGGCCUCAGCGCCGCCAAGGGCGGUCCCGGCUCCUGUAACCGUUGCAGUCUUCUGUCCCUUCACCCAGGUGGGCAAACGCAGAGGCGGGAACAAACUAGCCCUCAAGACGGGAAUAGUAGCCAAGAAGCAGAAGACGGAGGAUGAGGUAUUAACAAGUAAAGGUGACGCAUGGGCCAAGUACAUGGCAGAAGUGAAAAAGUACAAAGCUCACCAGUGCGGUGACGAUGAUAAAACUCGGCCCCUGGUGAAAUGACGCCCCUCCCCCGCCUGCCCAUGGCCUGGGACUCUCUGCGAUGUACAUAACUAUUUAAUGCAGCGGCAGCGGCGGCAGCCUUCCCCGAGAGGACUUAAAAGCAGAAGGAAACCGAGAUGCUUCCCGCAGCCGUGGACGAUUCUCCAGGACUCUUUUUUUACCUUGAGCACUUGCCUCGUGAGACUUCAUAGAACAGUGGUUUACUGUCCCCCCUCUUCUCACCUCCUCAUUCUCUCUGGCUCUUUCUGUCUUCCUCUUCUCACCCUCCUCCCUCCCCUUAGCCAUCACUUCUGGGAAGUAAAGAACUUGACUU